rnacentral:lncRNA from 1 species
UUCUUCAAGUGCGGAGGAGUUUGUCUGACCGUUGGAUGGCAUCUAUUGUUAUCGGACGGCCAUACUUUGAUAAAUUUCAUCAUGUCAUGGGCCCAGCUGACUCGUGGCCUUCCCAUCAACAUCACACCGUUCUUUGAUCGGACCUUACUCCGUGCUCGGUUCCCACCGUCGAUUACAUUUCACCAUCCCGAAUUCGACCCACCUCCUACCAUGAAUACCCCUAACCAAACACAAGAAUUCCAAUCAUGUCCCAAAUCUGUGAUUCUCAAACUUACUCUUGACCAGCUUAAGGUGUUAAAAGCCGGCGUCAAUGGCACCAAACCAACAGCAAGUUACACCACUCAUGAGAUCCUGGUAGCCCACAUUUGGCGUUGUGUGAGCAGAGCACGUGGCCUCGCCGAUGAUCAGGCCACGAGGCUACACGUGACGCUAAACGGACGGUUCAAAUUGGUUCCUCCACUCCCACAAAGUUAUUUUGGUAGUGCCAUUUUUCCCGUCAGAACUACCGCUCUAGCAGGUGAUCUCUGCAGAGAGCCAUUGGAAUACACUGCAGCGAGAAUUCGUAGAGCGACGAAGAAGAUAGACGAUGGUUAUUUGAGGUCAGCCAUUGAUUGUUUAGAAAAACAUCCUGAUAUAGGAUCUCUUGUUCCUAGGAAAGGGAAUGAAAUUUAUAAAUGUCCGAAUCUCAGCAUUGUCAGCUGGAGUCGUUUGCCUUUCCAUGAUAUUGACUUUGGAUGGGGAAAAGCUGUGUAUGCAGGGCCAGCAAGUAUCUACAGUGAUGGAAAAGGGUAUAUAUUGGCAAGUCCAGCCGAUGACGGUGGCUUAUUGCUUGCCAUUUGCUUGGAGACUAACCACAUGGCCUUGUUCAAUCAGCUUUUCCACGAGUUCAUGCCGGUUUCAGCUAUGUGAAAGCACUUAUUUGGCGUACGUAUUUAUAUUUUAAAAAAUAUAUCGUGUUUAUAGUUUUCCACUGUUUUCUGUUUUGUGGUACUCGUGCCAACACUUUUACAGUGUGUGUGUGUGUAUAUAUAUAUGCAGAGAGAGAUAACCCUUUUUUUCUUGGGUAAUUGUAAUGAACAAUGCAGUGAAAGAAUGGGAUUUACUCUUUUCUCAUUAAAAAGUUCACAUCUCAAGUAUUAUUAUUUAGAACAAAGACAAAGUAUGGUUAAAAAAGCCUUUACUUUAAGUAACUGAAAUUACAUCUUUUAAAUUUAGUAUAUAUUUUUAUUUAUUUUUUGUUAUUUUAUAUGAAAAUAUUAUUUUUAUUCGUGUACGAACUUUUAAGAUAAAAAAUAAAUAAAUAUAAUACUAAAUAAAUCUAUACCAGAAUCAUAAAUAUUAUGAUUUAAUUUAAUUUAUUAUUAUUAUAAUAAUUACGGUAAUUACAAUUUGAUAUAAUAAUAAUAAUAAUUUGAUAUUAAAAUAAUAUGUAAUUAUUUGAUAUAUAAUUUUUUAGACAAUUAAUUAAUAAACUAAUUAGAUGAGCGUUUUAAUAAUACCAAAUAAUUAUUACUUUUUAAUUAUAUUUAAGUUACGUGGUAAUUACGAAAUUAUAUCUUUUGUAAUUACAUUUAUCAGGUAAAGAAUCAAUUUAUUGUACGGUGCCUAUAAAAUAUACUGCCUUGGGCGCACUUAGGACAAGGGUUGUGAUCUAUUGAUGGUGACCACCAGUCACGUUAUCUUUUCUUCUGACACGGAAAGUACAAUAUCCUCCUUUUGUCAAAAUUUGCAGUCUGCGUGUCCAAAAAGGAUCGCACAACCCUAUCUUUGAAGAUUUUCAUUUAAUUUAAUUAUAAAAUUUAUUAUAAGCUUUAUAAAAUUCUAAUUUUUUCUAUAAUAUAAUAAAACAAUAUUUUAAAUUCUAUGAUGAUUUUUUUAUAAUAUUGUAAAAAAAAUAAGUUUUUCUUUAAAUUCAUUAAAAUUUACACGUUAUUUAACUAUAAAUAAUUUAAUUUUUUCCGGUUUUUUUUUUGUUUUAAAUUGAAACUUUACACUAUUCGAUAUAUAAUUUUUUUAUUUUAAUUAUAUUUUAAUAAAUCAUUUAAAAAUAAAUGUAUAAUAAUUUACAAAAUAAAAUAAUUUUUUAUAAAUAUAACGGAGUUUUUUUGCACGUCUCUGGAAGCUAUAAAAAGGAACUCUUCCAGUUUCUCACCUCGCCUAACAUUUUCUCCUCCUUGACGUUUUUUUCUUUCUCGGAAAUCUCAGAUCGAACUGGUGAGAUAUUUAUUGUUGUAGAGAUUUCUCUUUCUUGUUUGUUGUAAGGUAUGUUACUCAACUCACAUGUUAAUAUUUCCGUUCUCCGUAAUUUCUUUUUUGAAAUGGAGAGUAGCUUGAUAUAUUUUAGAGUUUAUGUUGUCGAUUUGCUAUGCUUAUGAUUCCGGAUAGAGAAAUAUAUUUUGGAGUUUACGUUGUGGAUGUGUGUGUGUGUGUGAGUGUAUAUAUAUAUUGCUGAUAGAGAAAGGUGAAUAUAAAAUCUGAUGUUUCAGGGAAGAUGAAGGUGAGUGUGAAAGAAUCGUGUAUUGUACGACCGGCACAAGACACACCAAAACACAGCAUAUGGAUUUCUAACCUCGAUUUGCUGCAAGCGAGGUUGCACGUAGGUCUGAUUCACUGUUAUGAGCUCGAUGGCUCUUCUAAUUUCUUCGACACAGAGCUGCUUAAGGAGACUUUAAGCAGAACUCUUGUGCCGUUCUAUCCUGUUGCUGGCAGGCUCCGGAGAGAUCACAAUGGGAGGCCUGAGAUCUACUGCAACGCAGACGGAGUGCUGUUCGUUGUGGCUGAAACCGAUUCUGUUAUGGGGGGCUUUGCCGGAGUUACUCGGAAUCCAGAAUUCCGUCACUGUGUUCCAACAGUUGAUUACUCAACUGACAUCUCUUCUUAUCCUCUUCUUUUGGUACAGGUAAAAUUUUUCAUGCCAAGAGAUCGGUGCUAUACUUUAUUCAAUUCUGUUAAUUAAUUAAGAAAAUAAUAAUGUUAAUGAAAACUAAAAUUAAGAUACGGUACGUCCGUUUUGAACUCUUGCACUUCAGCCUAACUAUCUUUCAGUUUCUGUAUUUUUUUCUGUACAAUAUUAUUAGUUUGUUUAUGGAAUUCAUACUUAUUUAGGGUUUUAAAUAAUGUAAUUUACAAAUUUAAGAUUAAAGAAUAUACAUAUACAGGUAACAUUCUUCAAGUGCGGAGGAGUUUGUCUGAGCAUUGGAUGGCAUCUAUUGUUGUCGGACGGCCAUGCUUUGAUAAAUUUCACCAGGUCAUGGGCUCAGCUGGCUCGUGGUCUUCCCACCAACAUCACGCCGUUCUUUGAUCGGACCUUACUCCGUGCUCGGUUCCCACCGUCGAUUACAUUUCACCAUCCCGAAUUCGACCCACCUCCCACCAUGAAUAGCCCUAAUCAAACACAAGAAUUCCAAUCAUGUCCCAAACUUGUCAUUCUCAAACUUACUCUUGACCAGCUUAAGGUGUUAAAAGCCAGCGUCAAUGGCACCAAAACAACAGCUAAUUACACCACUCAUGAGGUC